rnacentral:misc_RNA from 1 species
GAGAGAUUGAUAAUAAAAAUAAUUAAAAAAAUAAAAGAAAAGAAUACAAAAUAACGUCUCUGAAUCAAAUCAAAGGAUCAACUUUGGGAGCCAUCUUCCCAAACAAAUAUUCAAGGUCAUUCUCCAAAGGAGUGAGAUUCAAGUCCAUGCCAAACACCCUCUUGAUACUAUUGGACCUCCUUAGCACAGGCAAUUUCGAAACAACUCGAUGAUCAUGAGCAAAGCUAAAUCCU